CAGCUUAUUCCGAUGCCUUGGUGCCUUGUUCAAUGUUUCGAGUGCUCAAAGGUAAGUGCAAAAAGAGGUGCCAAACAUCAAAUAUUGGUGCUACUUUUAGAGGUUUGAGUGACUCGCUUGGACUUUUACUCGGUGCCAUGAAGUGUUUAAAAUCCCUCUCAGGUUCCAGAUGUCUUCAACCUUUUCAGGCUGGACAUUAGCAGCAGAAUCCACCUGCAAAUUAGAACAAAGUUUUGGAUGUCAACGUUGAUGGUGCACAUUUUUUCAUAUGACGAGGAGCUUGAUGGUGAUGGACAUGGUGGAGAUGGUGAUGAUGCUGACAAGAAAUGGAUAUGGUGACAAUGAUGAUGAUGAUAUUGGAGGAUGAGACAUGGACUUUUGAAGACAUUUGUCUUUAUUUAGUUAUUGAAAAGUUAUCAUGUCAAGAACUUGUGUUUUAUUUGUGUUGUAUGAACUUGUGUUUUAUUUGGUGCAGUUUGAACUUAUAGUGUAGCAAUGUGCUACUGGACUUCAUUAUUUCCUUACUGAGGUUUAUUAUUUUACUU